GAGUAUAGCUCAGUGGUAGAGGUCAUGCUUAGCAUGCAUGAGGCCUGGGUUUCAAUCCCCAGCACCA
rnacentral:tRNA from 1 species